AUUAGCAGUGAUAUCACCCUGCAACUCACAACUGGCAACCCACUGAAGCUAAGCAGGUGUGAGCCUGGUCAGUACCUGAACAGGAGACCUCCUGGGAAAAACUAAGGUUGCUGCUGGAA
rnacentral:rRNA from 1 species